GUAGGUGGCAAGCGUUGUCCGGAAUUAUUGGGCGUAAAGCGCGCGCAGGCGGUCCUUUAAGUCUGAUGUGAAAGCCCACGGCUCAACCGUGGAGGGUCAUUGGAAACUGAGGGACUUGAGUACAGAAGAGGAAAGCGGAAUUCCACGUGUAGCGGUGAAAUGCGUAGAGAUGUGGAGGAACACCAGUGGCGAAGGCGGCUUUCUGGUCUGUAACUGACGCUGAGGCGCGAAAGCGUGGGGAGCAAACAGGGAUUAGAUACCCUGGUAGUCCACGCCGUAAACGAUGAGUGCUAAGUGUUAGGGGGUUUCCCGCCCCUUAGUGCUGCAGCUAACGCAUUAAGCACUCCGCCUGGGGAUACGACCGCAAGGUUG
rnacentral:rRNA from 1 species